rnacentral:tRNA from 1 species
GCCUCCGUGGCGCAAUCGGUUAGCGCGUUCGGCUGUUAACCGACAGGUUGGAGGUUCGAUUCCUCCCGGUGGCG